AUUGCAUUAUUUCAUAAUUGAAAGGUGGAGCAAUGUCAAACUCAUCAGGUGAUGCAGGGGUGUGGUUGUGGAUUGCUUCAAUCCAUUGGUCCAACUCUUGGAGCCUCCAUUCAACUUCAAGAUCUCGAGUGGCACGAGUUGCUGAUUGAUGAGGAGAUCGAUGGUCCAGAUUUGAAUCAUGCCCCAACAAGAGGCUAAAGGCGCAUCGUCUUCUUGGAUCUGGGCUUCUGGGGUGG
rnacentral:lncRNA from 1 species